UCCGGAAUUUAACAGGAUCUUAUUUCCAGGGUGGAGGGGGCGGGGGUGCGAGGGUGGGCUACUGCCCGAAGAAAAGAAAUGGGGAGGGGGCGCCUAGAAAAGACGGAUCCCAUGAUUGUGCUUUUUAUUUAUUCGUAAUAAAUAAAGGUGAUGGGUGUAGGUUUCGUCCCCCACCCCCCGAAGAUUACCUUUAGGACGAUCUCCUUCCCACUUCGUCCUCGCAGCUCCCUUUUCCAUUUGUCUCCACUCCCACCCGCGCGCUCCUUUAUCCUCCGCGAGCCUCGGGUUUGGGGGCCUGUGGGGUCGGAAUGCGCGCGGCUAGACUCUUGGAAACAAAGGGGCUGUUUAGAAGGCAACAGAGAGAUGUUAUUCCAGGGGCUUUCCUCUUUGAUUCUGAAGAACACAAGGUCCAUUUAACCAUUCGACAAAACAAAACGAAAUUUCUGAUCACUCCACCACGCAGCGCAGAAGGAGCCCGUGGCUCUGUGGCCUGCUAGGAGAACCCAUGUCGGGCAUUCAUUGUUCGUCUGUGUCUCUGGGAGGGGGCUCCCGUCAAUGCGCCCACUGUCUAUGGAGUGUUAAAAUGAAACAAUUUUCUCUUUAUGAAGUACCUCCUUGAGACUCCCUCUGCUGGACACACCGGGUGAGCAUUAGAGAAGGAACUUGGCAUUGAAUUCAGAACUACAGUAAACCCGGCUGCUUUCCCUUUCACAGGGGCUGGGUGUGUGGGUUGGGAUGUAUUUUGUCAACUUUGUGGAAAGCCAUCUCGGGAACGGCCCUGUUCUCCUCCUGUUCCUUUCAUUCUAAAUCCGUGUGGAAUGUAGGCCCGACCUCUGGGGCUGAGCCUGGGCACUCCUGUUCUUUCUACAGUGUUCUUCUAGCGCUUCCCCCCAGGUGCAGGACUGUGGGUGUGCACGGUGUUGUGGUUGAAGACUCACUAGGGACCUCAGAGGUCUCAGGAGUGCAGGUUUUGUUUGCAAGUCUUCCCUCCUGUCCCAGGAGAUCUCCCUGGUCACCGCUUUCAACCCCGGGUUUCCCUCCGUCUUGUUUGUGUGCUCUCUGAAUUAUUCCGAGGUUUUGUA